rnacentral:lncRNA from 1 species
GGAACAUAUCCAAAAGUUUGGAAAUACAAAAGAAAAUACACUUUGGUCUGAAGUGAAAGGGUCUCAGGAAAGACAGAACAGCCUCCAUUUAAAUCAGAGCCUAGUACUUGGAGAGAGCUAAUCCCAGAAGGCAGAUUGAUGUUGACACUUGGUGUUUUGUUCUGCUCUCCAGCAACUCUGAAGAAAGAGAAACAGUUUGAAUUUGCUGAAACCUUUCUGCAGCCCUUGAAUUGUGGAGCAAUUACCCUGACAGUUGUUUGCGUAGGAACAAGCACGGUGACAGCACAGCAAGCCUGUGAAACAAGCCCAGCACAGGACUCAGGGUGUUCUGCCAAAGGUCAUAGCCCGAGCGUUCAGAAAUGUCAAGUAGGACAUGGCAGUCCCUUGAUUCCAAGCAGCUCCAUGCUUGGUCCACACCCUUCUCAGGGGUCCCGCUGCCUGAUGAAGUGA